AGUCAAUUCCUGGCCAUGUUGGAAAAUUGGCUGAUUACAACGUACAGGACACAACAACAUUGCUCAGAGUUGUUGAUUGCAACAGAUAUUCAACCACAGCCUUGUUUCAUCUAAGAAAGGGGGUCUUUUAGAGGCUACAUCUGGAUUUUUCUUUUCGUAGCUCAGUUUUUUGGUGAAUCUAUGUUGAGUGCCUCUAUUGGUUUCUUUGUUCCUCAGGGAAAGCAAGAUUCGUGGAGCCCGUAUGGACAAGGGCUGAAAGACAUGAAUUCAAACCUGGAUUCGAUCUCAGAAUCUCUCGAUUGUUUCUACAAACACUCUUCAACUUUCACAACCAAGGAGGUGAUUCACAUUAUUCGUUAUUAGUUUUGGACAGAGUUACAAUGGACUGGCCAUUGCAAAUUUUAGUUGUGCAUGGCACUUUAAUACUUCCAGUCCCUGCAGGCUGGAAGUUGAUCAGGCCAUCAAAUCAAGUGGUUCUAUGAGGUUUUUCUUUCUCCCAAACAUGAUACAUGUUGUAGGGAACUGGACCAAUGCACAAGGUGGGCUUCACCAUGACGAUCACCUGGAAAUAAAAUCAAGCUAGUCCACUCUUUGAGUAGGCCCCACAACCAAAAUCAAUGGACAACACUACAACAAAAGGUAAAGGCUUGGAUUACCAAAGCUUCAAAGAGUAUAUCAUCAUUUUGGAAGGUCUGUGAAAAGAACUUAGGUUACAAUGCAGGUGAUUCUGAUUCGGAUGAGUCAAAAGGCAAUUUGAAAUAAAGAUCAAUAAGAUAUGUUUUAUUUAAACGGAAGAGUCUAGGUGAGUUAAAUUUCUUUCGGAUCUAUCAUGGUGUUGAAAUUGCUUGACAAAUCAUGAUUACAAAUUUUCAAAUUUUAUAUGUUUUAGUUUAUGCAAACUCAUGGUACAAGGAAGCCAUCCCUCGAGUUCUUUGUUCUAUCAUUUUAAUGCAAUAAUGUCAUUUCUUGAGCUCUUUGUUCAUUUCAUUAUUUUAGAACAAAAAGAAGG